rnacentral:rRNA from 1 species
GACGAACGCUGGCGGCGGGCUUAACACAUGCAAGUCGAACGGAAAGGCCCUGCUUUUGUGGGGUGCUCGAGUGGCGAACGGGUGAGUAACACGUGUGUAACCUGCCCUUGACUUUGGGAUAACUUCAGGAAACUGGGGCUAAUACCGUAUAGGAGCUCCUGCUGCAUGGUGGGGGUUGGAAAGUUUCGGCGGUUGGGGAUGGACUCGCGGCUUAUCAGCUUGUUGGUGGGGUAGUGGCUUACCAAGGCUUUGACGGGUAGCCGGCCUGUGAGGGUGACCGGCGACAUUGGGACUGAGAGACGGACCAGACUCGUACGGGAGGCAGCAGUGGGGAAUAUUGCACAAUGGGCGGAAGCCUGAUGCAGCAACGCCGCGUGCGGGAUGACGGCCUUCGGGUUGUAAACCGCUUUCGCCUGUGACGAAGCGUGAGUGACGGUAAUGGGUAAAGAAGCACCGGCUAACUACGUG